AUAUGGACGUUUUAAGGUCGAAAGGUCAGUGGGCUAGGCCCAACUCGGGAUCAACCGAGUUGGCCCAAAAAAAUAAAAAACGAAUUUAGGCCCAAAAGUGAGGGUGGCCGGCCAUACCUGGCCCAACCCAUGUCACUUAAUUAAUUUUUCAUGUGAUAAAUAAGACUAGAAGGGAUCAUUAGUCUUAGAAACUUCAAGAAAAUUUGAGAAAGAGAAAAACAACAAAAAGAAGAACAAAAGCUUAAAGGCCAUACGGCCAUAGCUUGCAAAUUUUUGCCCUUUGAAAUCUUUCUCCAAAAAUUAUUUUCUUGUGGUAUUUCUACUAAUUCAAGGGUCCUUUACAACUUGGUGUAAUUAUUUUGGAAGAAAGAGCACUUGUUUCUUCAAGUUGACAACUUGGUCAAGUGAAAAAGAUUGUAGAAAAAGAUUUUGGCGAACUUGAAACUUGAUUUUGGAGACGUGUAUGAAGCGGAAAAGGUCAGCAGACAGGUGGACGUGAUCCUUAGAAGCUCUACCAGCCGCACUUGACAGCGCUCCAGUUGUUCCGGAGCCUCACUCCAGCGGUACUAUUUUAUGCAUAUACAUUCGGGCUUGGUAGCACCCCGACCCUUUCUAUGUAUAAGUGUACUAUGUCUAGAGGCUCGUAGACAGAUACGUACAGUCAGUCAGGUACAGAUAUAUGUAUAGUGUUUUGGCAUGUUAAUAUUGUUGUACAAGGUAAUAACGGAGUUUAUUAGUUUAUGUUCAAGGAAAAAA